UGUGUUUUGUGUGUGCUUGUUUUUAAGUGAGGUGUGUGUGUGUUUUUAAUGAAAGUUGUGCAUUCAAGUAAAAGGCAUGUGUGUGAGUGAUGUGUGUGUGUGUGUAAGUGAGAGACAUGUGUAUGUAAGUGAGAGGCAUGUAUGUGUGUGUAAGUGGGAGGCAUGUGUAUGUAAGAGAGACUUGUGUGUGUAAGUGAAAGAGACGUGUGUGUGUGUGUUUAAGUGAAUGAGGCGUUUGUGUUUUUUUUAUAUAUAUAUCUAGUGUUCACGCUAGGUGUCUGCACCUUUUUUUAGACAGAUGAAUCCCACCCUGCCCGUUUUUGUGCGCCCUACCAACCCGCCGUUUUCUGCCUGCCGUACCCCGCCACGCCGCCAGACCCAGCCGUGCGCCGCCGGACCCGCCUGACUGCGGCACUGCCCCUUGGAUGACGCCGCAUACGAUACACGUGACAGGAAGAAUGGCACGGCCCGGGGAUGGCGCACGGCGGUGAUUGGCGGCACUUUCCAGGAGACGAUGUCACUUCUGUCAGACGUCCCCGGAAGUGCGGCGGAGUCCCGGACAGGAGUGCGACAACGGGCAGGUGUAUGCGGGAUCUUGAGUGCCAGGUUGGACAUAUGCUAUAAAUAUAUAUAUAUAUAUGGCGGAAGCGCGGGACACAUAGCUCGGUGGGGUAUUUAGAGGGUAAGUUUGUGC